GUAGGUGGCAAGCGUUGUCCGGAAUUAUUGGGGCGUAAAGCGCGCGCAGGGUGGUUCUUUAAGUCUGAUGUGAAAGCCCCCGGGCUCAACCGGGGAGGGUCAUUGGAAACUGGGGAACUUGAGUGCAGGAGAGGAAAGUGGAAUUCCACGUGUAGCGGUGAAAUGCGUAGAUAUGUGGAGGAACACCAGUGGCGAAGGCGACUUUCUGGCCUGUAACUGACACUGAGGCGCGAAAGCGUGGGGAGCAAACAGGAUUAGAUACCCUGGUAGUCCACGCCGUAAACGAUGAGUGCUAAGUGUUGGGGGGUUUCCGCCCCUCAGUGCUGCAGCUAACGCAUUAAGCACUCCGCCUGGGGGGUACGGUCGCAAAGACUG
rnacentral:rRNA from 1 species